GAAACUUCUUUGCUUUUGGUCCAGUCCAAUUGAGCUGACCUUCCAUGUAUUGAGUGUUGUCCUUCCCUUCACCUAAAACAGUUCUUAUCCACUAAUUAAUCAAUAAAAAAACCCUCUCCCUCCCCCCUCCCCCCCCCGUAACCACAACAGUAUGAUUUCUUCUCAGUUUAUACUAUUUCUCAAGGUCUUAUAAUAGUGGUCUUAUACAAUAUUUGUCCUUUUGCCUCUGACUAAUUUCACUCAGCAUAAUCCCUUCCAGGUUCCUCCAUGUUAUGAAAUGUUUCAGAGAUUCGUCACUGUUCUUUAUCGAUGCGUAGUAUUCCAUUGUGUGAAUAUACCACAAUUUAUUUACCCAUUCAUCCGUUGAUGGACACCUUGGUUGCUUCCAACUUUUUGCUAUUGUAAACAGAGCUGCAAUAAACAUGGGUGUGCAUAUAUCUGUUUGUAUGAAGGCUCUUGUAUCUCUAGGGUAUAUUCCUAGGAGUGGGAUUUCUGGGUUGUAUGGUAGUUCUAUUUCUAACUGUUUAAGAUAAUGCCAGAUAGAUUUCCAAAGUGGUUGUACCAUUUGACAUUCCCACCAGCAGUGUAUAAGAGUUCCAAUCUUUCCGCAGCCUCUCCAACAUUUAUUAUUUUGUGUUUUUUGGAUUAAUGCCAGCUUUGUUGGAGUGAGAUGGAAUCUCAUCAUAGUUUUAAUUUGCAUUUCUCUAAUGGCUGAUGAUCGAGAGCAUUUUCUCAUGUAUCUGUUAGCUGCCUGAAUAUCUUCUUUAGUGAAGUGUGUGUUCAUAUCCUUUGCCCACUUCUUGAUUGGGUUGUUUGUCUUUUUGUGGCUGAGUUUUGACAGAAUCAUGUAGAUUUUAGAGAUCAGGCUCUAGUCGGAGAUAUCAUAGCUGAAAAUUCUUUCCCAAUCUGUAGGUGGUCUUUUUACUCUUUUGGUGAAGUCUUUAGAUGAGCAUAGGUGUUUCAUUUUUAGGAGCUCCCAGUUAUCUGGUUUCUCUUCGUCAUUUUUGGUAAUGUUUUGUAUUCUGUUUAUGCCUUGUAUUAGGACUCCUAGGGUUGUCCCUAUUUUUUCUUCCAUGAUCUUUAUCGUUUUAGUCUUUAUGUUUAGGUCUUUGAUCCACGUGGAGUUAGUUUUUGUGCAUGAUGUGAGGUGUGGGUCCUGUUUCAUUUUUUUGCCAAUGGAUAUCCAGUUAUGCCAGCACCAUUUGUUAAAAAGACUAUCUUUUCCCCAAUUAACUGACACUGGGCCUUUGUCAAAUAUCAGCUGCUCAUAUGUGGAUGGAUUUAUAUCUGGGUUCUCAAUUCUGUUCCAUUGGUCUAUGUGCCUGUUGUUGUACCAGUACCAGGCUGUUUUGACUACUGUGGCUGUAUAAUAUGUUCUAAAAUCAGGUAGAGUGAGGCCUCCGACUUUUUUCUUCUUUUUCAGUAAUGCUUUGCUUAUCCGAGGCUUCUUUCCCUUCCAUAUGAAAUUGGUGAUUUGUUUCCCUAUCACCUUAAAAAAUGACAUUGGAAUUUGGAUCGGAAGUGCGUUAUAUGUAUGGAUGGCUUUUGGUAGAAUAGACAUUUUUACUAUGUUAAGUCUUCCUAUCCAUGAGCAAGGUAUGUUUUUCCACUUAAGUAUGUCCUUUUGAAUUUCUUGUAGUAGAGCUUUGUAGUUUUCUUUGUAUAGGUCUUUUACAUCGUUGGUAAGAUUUAUUCCUAAGUAUUUUAUCUUCUUGGGGGCUACUGUGAAUGGUAUUGAUUUGGUUAUUUCCUCUUUGGUGUUCUUUUUGUUGAUGUAGAGGAAUCCAAGUGAUUUUUGUAUGUUUAUCUUAUGACCUGAGACUCUGCCAAACUCUUCUAUUAGUUUCAGUAGUUUUCUGGAGGAUUCCUUAGGGUUUUCUGUGUAUAAGAUCAUGUCAUCUGCAAAUAGAGAUAAUUUUACUUCCUCCUUGCCCAUCCUGAUGCCCUUUAUUUCUUUGUCUACCCUAAUUGCCCUGGCUAGGACUUCUAGCACGAUGUUGAAUAAGAGCGGUGAUAAAGGGCAUCCUUGUCUGGUUCCCGUUCUCAAGGGAAAUGCUUUCAGGUUCUCUCCAUUUAGAGUGAUAUUGGCUGUUGGCUUUGCAUAGAUGCCCUUUAUUAUGUUGAGGAAUUUUCCUUCAAUUCCUAUUUUGGUGAGAGUUUUUAUCAUAAAUGGGUGUUGGACUUUGUCAAAUGCCUUUUCUGCAUCAGUUGAGAAGAUCAUGUGGUUUUUGUCUUUUGUUUUAUUUAUGUGAUGGAUUACAUUAAUGGUUUUUCUGAUAUUAAACCCAGCCUUGCAUACCUGGUAUAAAUCCCACUUGAUCGUGGUGAAUUAUUUUUUUGAUAUGUUGUUGAAUUCUAUUGGCUAGAAUUUUGUUGAGGAUUUUUGCAUCUAUGUUCAUGAGGGAUAUAAGUCUGUAAUUUUCCUUUUUUGUAAUGUCUUUACCUGGUUUUGGUAUCAGGGAGAUGGUGGCUUCAUAGAAUGAGUUGGGUAGUAUUCCGUCAUUUUCUAUGCUUUGCAAUACCUUCAGUAGUAGUGGUGUUAACUCUUCUCUGAAAGUUUGGUAGAACUCUGCAGUGAAGCCGUCCGGGCCAGGGCUUUUUUUUGUUAGGAGUUUUUUGAUUACCUUUUCAAUCUCUUUUUUUAUUAUGGGUCUAUUUAGUUGUUCUACUUCUGAAUGUGUUAGUUUAGGUAGGUAGUGUUUUUCCAGGAAUUCAUCCAUUUCUUCUAGGUUUAGAAAUUUGUUAGAGUACAAUUUUUCGUAAUAAUCUGAUAUGAUUCUUUUAAUUUCAGUUGGUUCUGUUGUGAUGUGGUCCUUCUCGUUUCUUAUUCAGGUUAUUUGUUUCCUUUCCUGUAUUUCUUUAGUCAGUCUAGCCAAUGGUUUAUCAAUUUUGUUAAUUUUUUCAAAGAACCAGCUUUUCGCUUUGUUAAUUCUUUCAAUUGUUUUUCUGUUCUCUAAUUCAUUUAGUUUAGCUCUAAUUUUUAUGAUUUGAUUUCUUCUGGUGCCUGAUGGAUUCUUUUGUUGCUCACUUUCUAUUUGUUCAAGUUGUAGGGACAGUUCUCUGCUUUUGGCUCUUUCUUCUUUUUGUAUGUGUGCAUUUAUCGAUAUAAAUUGGCCUCUGAGCACUGCUUUUGCUGUGUCCCAGAGGUUUUGAUAGGAAGUAUUUUCAUUCUCGUUGCAUUCUAUGAAUUUCCUUAUUCCCUUCUUGAUGUCUUCUAUAACCCAGUCUUUUUUCAGGAGGGUAUUUUCAGUUUCCAAGUAUUUGAUUUCUUUUCCCUAGUUUUUCUGUUAUUGAUUUCUACUUUUAUUGCCUUGUGGUCUGAGAAGAUGCUUUGUAAUAUUUCGAUGUUUUGGACUCUGCAAAGGUUUGUUUUAUGACCUAAUACGUGGUCUAAUCUAGAGAAUGUUCCAUGUGCGCUAGAAAAAAAAAGUAUACUUUGCAGCAGUUGGGUGGAGAGUUCUGUAUAAGUCAAUGAGGUCAAGUUGGUUGAUUGUUGUAAUUAGGUUUUCCGUGUCUCUAUUGAGCUUCUUACUGGAUGUCCUGUCCUUCUCCGAAAGUGGUGUGUUGAAGUCUCCUCCUAUAAAUGUGGAGGUGUCUAUCUCACUUUUCAAUUCUGUUAAAAUUUGAUUUAUGUAUCUUGCAGCCCUGUCAUUGGGUGCAUAAAUAUUUAAUAUGGUUAUGUCUUCCUGAUCAAUUGUCCCUUUUAUCAUUAUAUAGUGUCCUUCUUUAUCCUUUGUGGUGGAUUUAAGUCUAAAGUCUAUUUUGUCAGAAAUUAAUAUUGCUACUCCUUUUUUGCUUAUUGUUUGCUUGAUAUAUUUUUUUUCCAUCCUUUGAGUUUUAGUUUGUCUCUAAGUCUAAGGUAUGUCUCUUUUAGGCAGCAUAUAGACGGAUCGUGUUUCUUUAUCCAGUCCGAGACUCUCUGUCUCUUUAUUGGUGCAUUUAGUCCAUUUACAUUCAGCAUAAUUAUAGAUAAGUGUUUAGUGUUGUCAUUUUGAUGCCUUUUUAUGUGUGUUGUUGGCAAUUUCAUUUUUCCACUCACUUUUUUGUGCUGAGACGUUUUUCUUAGUAAAUUGUGAGAUCCUCAUUUUCGUAGUGUUUGACUUUAUGUUUGUUGAGUCGUUACAUUUUUCUUGGUUUUUAUCUUGAGUUAUGGAGUUCUUAUAUCUCUUUGUGGUUACCUUAUUAUUUACCCCUAUUUUUCUAAGUAAAAACCUAACUUGUAUUCUUCUAUAUCGCCUUGUAUCACUCUCCAUAUGGCAGUUCUAUGCCUCCUGUGUUUAGUCCCUCUUUUUGAUUAUUGUGAUAUUUUACAUAUUGACUUCAGUGAUUCCCUGUUAUGAGCAUUUUUUUUAAUUAAUCUUAAUUUGUUUUUGUGAUUUCCCUAUUUGAGUUGAUAUCAGGAUGUUCUGUUUUGUGACCUUGUGUUGUGCUGGUAUCUGAUAUUAUUGGUUUUCUGACCAAACAAUAUCCUUUAGUAUUUCUUGUAGCUUUGGUUUGGUUUUUGCAAAUUCUCUAAACUUGUGUUUAUCUGUGAAUAUCUUAAUUUCGCCUUCAUAUUUCAGAAAGAGUUUUGCUGGAUAUAUGAUCCUUGGCUGGCAGUUCUUCUCCUUCAGUGCUCUGUGUAUGUCGUCCCAUUCCCUUCUUGCCUGCAUGGUUUUUGCUGAGUAGUCUGAACUUAUUCUUAUUGAUUCUCCCUUGAAGGAAACCUUUCUUUUCUCCCUGGCUGCUUUUAAAAUUUUCUCUUUAUCUUUGGUUUUGGCAAGUUUGAUGAAAAUAUGUCUUGGUGUUUUUCUUUUUGGAUCAAUCUUAAAUGGGGUUCGAUGAGCAUCUUGGAUAGAUAUCCUUUCGUCUUUCAUGAUGUCAGGGAAGUUUUCUGUCAGGAGUUCUUCAACUAUUUUCUCUGUGUUUUCUGUCCUCCCUCCCUGUUCUGGGACUCCAAUCACACGCAAGUUAUCCUUCUUGAUAGAGUCCCACAUGAUUCUUAGGGUUCCUUCAUUUUUUUUAAUUCUUUUAUCUGAUUUUUUUUCAGCUAUGUUGGUGUUAAUUCCCUGGUCCUCCAGAUUUCCCACUCUGCAUUCUAAUUGCUCGAGUCUGCUCCUCUGACUUCCUAUUGCACUGUCUAAUUCUGUAAUUUUAUUGUUAAUCUUUUGGAUUUCUACAUGCUGGCUUUCUAUGGAUUCUUGCAACUUAUUAAUUUUUCCACUAUGUUCUUGAAUAAUCUUUUUGAGUUCUUCAACAAUUUUAUCAGUGUGUUCCUUGGCUUUUUCUGCAGUUUGCCUUAUUUCGUUUCUGAUGUCUUGAAGCAUUCUUUAAAUUAGUUUUUUAUAUUCUGUGUCUGAUAAUUCCAGCAUUGUAUCUUCAUUUGGGGAAGAUUUUGAUUCUGUUGUUUGGGGGGUUGUAGAAGCUGUCAUGGUCUGCUUCUUUAUGUGGUUUGAUAUGGACUGCUGUCUCCGAGCCAUCACUGGGAAACUAGUUUUUCCAGAAAAUCCGCUAAAAAAAAUGCAGUCAGAUCCCUAUCAAAACUGCCUUUGGAUUAUAACCGCCACCUUGUUCCCUGUGAGGAUGAAAGUCUGAGAUUUGGAUCAUAUAUGCUUGGCUGUAGCUGGUUCUGUGUAUUUAGUCCAAUUAGGGGUGGAUUUUUGGUCCCUGGGUUGUUUUUUGUUGUUGUUGUUCCUUCUCUCAGGCCAAAAGAGUGGAUUAGGAAAAGACCAAAAGAACAAAAACGGGGGGGGAAGCAAAGCUGCCGCGGAGCCGGAGCCGUUCUCCCUCUGGCUCAGGCAAUUCCAAUAUUAAUGAAGCCGCCUGGGGAGGGUGGGGGAGGAAUCAGCGAGAUAGGAGAGUAGCACCUGAGAAUAUAACCAGAGUUGCUUGUCUUGCUUGGAAUGACUAUUAUAUCUGAGAUUCCCGCAGGGCGUGUCGCCUGUGUGUGCUGGCUGUGUGGAGAUUUCCCCCAGGGGUCUGGCCCUCUGAAGCCACCCGCUGCCAGUCCAAAUCCUAGCGUCAAGUUUCCCCUGCUGGGACGCUUUACUCCCGGCUCCAAAAUCAGUCGCUGCCUCCCGGGGACUUCUCGUCCUGCCAGCCGCGUCGCCAUGCCGCCCUCACGAACCGGCUGGGCCCCCUCCCGGGGUUAGUUCAGGGGAGUGGAGCAGCUCCCUGUGCUUGUGCCAUGCCAGCGCCCAGUCAAAAUCCCGGCGGGACGAUUCCCUGGCUGGGACACUGCUCUCCCAGCUCCAAGACCAGUCACUGCCUCCCGGGGACUUCUCCUACCGGCUGUGUCGCCACGCCACCCGCGCAAACCAGCUGGGCCUCCUCCCGGGGUGAGUUCAGGGGGGUAAGGCUGGGCCCCUUGUUUGUGCUGUCAGCUCCCCUGGGCUCUGCCCUAAUUUGGGCGCCAAAGGUUACCUGACUGGGACGCUGGCUCAAGGCUCCAAAAACAGUCGCUGCUUCCCUGUAUUUGUUCGUUUUCCGUCUCUAAAUCUCUGUUUGUUGUUCAGGGUUCGUAGAUUGUUAUGUACAUGAUCGAUUCACUUGUUUUUCCGAGUCUUUGUUGCAAGAGGGAUCCGAGGUAGCGUCUACCUAGUCCGCCAUCUUGGCCCUGCCUCCUGGUUGGUUUUUUAUAAAUUCCCUUAAUUUCUGUUUAUCUGGAAAUGUCCUAAUGUUGCCAUCAUAUUUGAGCAAAAGUUUUUCAAGAUAUAUUUUCCUUGUCCCUUUUUUUCUUUCAAAGUUUUAUAUAUGUCAUCCCAUUGCCUUCUUGCCUGCAUGGCUUCUGCAAGUAAUCAGAGCUUUUUCUUAUUGUUUCUCCUCUAUAUGUGACUUUUUGCUUUUCUUGAGCUACUCUCAGGAGUAUUUCUCUUUGGUUUUAGUGAGUGCAAUUAUGAUAUGUCUUGGUGAUUUUCUUUUGAGGUCUAUCUUAUUUGGUGUUUGUUGAACUUCUUGGGUUGUAAGCUUUUCAUCUUUCAUGAUAUUAGGUAAGCUUUUUUCUCAGCAAAUCUUCAAUGAUCCUCUCUGUGUUUCCUAUUUUCUUCCCCUUUCUGGAACUCUAAUCACAUGCAAAUUUUUGCUUUUAAUUGUAUGCCACUUCCUUCUCAGAAUUUCUUCAUUUUUCUUCAUUGUUUUCUCUGAUUUUUCCUCAAAGUGGUAGCCAAUAUUUUGUCUUCAGUUUCACUGAUCCUGUCUUCUACUGCUUCAAAUUUGUUCCUAAAACCUUCUAUUGCCCUGUCCAUUUCUGAAAUCUUGUUGUUUAUCAUUUGGUUUUCUAAUUGCCGCUUUUGUAUGAUUUCUAGUUGUGUAUUUUGAAAUUUUGUUACUCUAUUAUUUUUCUGAAUUCUUGCAUUGUUUUGUCUGUGUUUUCCCUGACUUUGUCUGUAUUUUCCAUGGAUUUGUCUAUUUUCCCUUAUUUUUGUCUGAAUUUUCCUUCAUCUCUUUCCUAAACUCUUGGAGAGCCCUGAAUAUUACUAGACUUUUGAAUUCCCUAUCAGGUAGUUCCAGUGCCUUUUCCUCUACUGGAGAAUCCUCUGGGGUUUUAUUUUAGUCACUUUCUUGAGCCAUCCUGUCCUGUUUUUGUUUUUGUUUUAAUGGUGUGAUAUUGUCUGCUGUCUCUGGGUCAUUUAGGAAUUAUUUCCUUCAUUUAUCAAUUGUAUAUUUGCUUCUAAGGGAUAGAGAGAGAAGAAACAAGAAAAAAUGAAACAAAACAAAAAUAUGAUGCCGGAGGAGCUGACCAAUGGGAGCAGCACAGACCUGGAGAGGCCAUGGGCCAGUGGCUCUCUAGUCGAUCAUUGAAACACCACCUGUCGAGAAUGGGAGGAUGGCAUGUUCCUUCUAUCUAUAACAUCAUGUUGACCCAGCCUCUCUCCUGAUCUUCUAAAGUGGAAACAAAGGAAUAAAUAAAUUUUAAUGUCCUGCAGGGAACAAUUAUAAAAUAUAUGAAGAGACAAGAAAGGACAGCACAAACAAAUGAAGAAAGAAAGGAGUCAGAAAUAAUCCCUGAGGAAGAACAAAUAUUUGAUUUUUCUGACAAUGAUUUCAAAGCAUUAGUACUAAAAAUGCUCAAAGAGAUCAAGGAAAACAUAGAUAAAGAUCUAAAGGAAAUCAGGAAAACAGUACAAGAACAAAACAAAAAUUUCAAGAAAGAUGGAAAACUUAAAAAAAACAAUUAGAAAUGCUGGAGCUUAAAAGUAAAGUAAAGGAAAUUAACAAUACCAUGGAAGGUAAAGAAGUAGAAUUGAAAUGACAGAAGAGAGGACAAGUGAACUUGAAGAUAGGGUCCUUGAGAUUGCUCAGUCUGAGAAGCAAACAGAAAAAAGAAUAACUUAUACAUGAUGGGAAUUCCAGAGCAAGAAAUGAGAGAGGAAGGCUCAGAAGGAAUCUUUGAACAAAUAAUCUCAGAAAAUUGCCCAAAUCUCAUGAAAGAUGGGAAUUUUCCCUUCCAUAAAGUACAAUGAACUCCGUACAGGAUGAAUCCUAAAAGAAAUUCACCAUGGCACAUCAUAAUCAAACUCUUGAGAACCCAGGACAAAGAGAAAAUUUUAAGAGCAGCAUGAGAAAAGCUAAGUAUCACAUAAGUGGGGACCCCAAUAAGAUUAAGUUCUGACCUCACUUCAGAAACCAUGCAAGCAAGAACACAAUGGGACAACAUAUUUAAAUUGCUGAAUGAAAAGAACUGUCAGCCAAAAGUAAUAUAGCAACAAAAUUAUUAUUCAAAAACGAGGAUGAAAUUAAAGUAUUCCCAAAUAAAUAAAAAUUAAGAGAAUUUGAUAACACUAAGCUGACUCUACAAGAAAUACUGAAGGGAGUCCUCCAGAAAGAAAAGUAAUGACACUUAAAAGCCACCUGGAUAUAAAUAACAAUAAAAUAAAUGUAAACUUAGAUUACAGGGAAACUGAGAUACAGGUAGUCCCUGAAUUAUGAAUAUCCAACUUAUGUACAACCAAUGGUUAGGAACCAACUCUUGUAAUUUUAUAUUAAAAAUUUGAGGUACGCACAAUGGUUCAUAAUAACAAAGGAGCACUACUUUGCAAUGUGCAUCAAAACAUUAUUAUUAUUAUUCCUGUAUUAUGUUAAAGAUGUUUUCAUGUAUUGGGAAAUAUUUUUUAAUGUUUUUUUAAGACAAGCAUUUCACUAACUGACGUUAGAUACAAACCAUACCUAACUGCUCCAACUUAUGUAUAAAUUAAACUUAAACACAGACUCAGGAGUGGAACUCAUUUGUAAUCUGGGAACUACCUGUACAAAGUUGCAAUUGAUGACAACACCAAAAUAAAAGGGGGAGAUGAUUGGCGUAAUUACAGAAUUUCAAUGUGUUGGGGAAGUUAAGGUGGUUUCAAUAUAUAACAGUUUGUUUUAAAUGUAGGAUGUUGAAGGUAAUCCUCAUGGUAGCCAAAAAGAAAGUAAAUAAAACUACUCACCAAAAUAAAGGGAAACAAAAAGACACAGCAAUCACAAGACAACAAUAAAAAAAAAAAGGAAAAGAAAAUCUGUAUUUUAGAAAUCAGCACUGAAGGUAAAGAGGAACAAAGGAACAAAGAAGCCAUUAAUCUCACACACAAAAAAAGCAUAAUAAGAUGGCUGAGGUAAAUCCUCCCCUAUCAAUAAAUACUAAACCAAAAAAAAAAAACCCAUUGCCA